rnacentral:rRNA from 1 species
GACGAACGCUGGCGGCGUGCUUAACACAUGCAAGUCGAGCGGAAAGGCCUUUCGGGGUACUCGAGCGGCGAACGGGUGAGUAACACGUGAGUAACCUGCCCCAGACUUUGGGAUAACCCUCGGAAACGGGGGCUAAUACCGGAUACGACACUUCAUCGCAUGGUGUGAGUGUGGAAAGUUUUUCGGUUUGGGAUGGGCUCGCGGCCUAUCAGCUUGUUGGUGGGGUGAUGGCCUACCAAGGCGACGACGGGUAGCCGGCCUGAGAGGGCGACCGGCCACACUGGGACUGAGACACGGCCCAGACUCCUACGGGAGGCAGCAGUGGGGAAUAUUGCACAAUGGGCGGAAGCCUGAUGCAGCGACGCCGCGUGA